GGAGAGUCCUCCGCGUUGCCCAGCAGCAGGACUGAGCUGAAUACGAAUGAGCUCGGGAUAUGGCUGUUUCUGCCGUGCUGGACACCUCGGACCCCUUGUACAGCUGUGGUGUCCCCAGCCAGCAUGGGCUGGAGCAGCCCAACAAGGAUGCUGCAGAAGGCACCCUGGGCUGGGGCUCCAGGAGAGCUCAGCUUUGAUCCCAGGCUCCGAGCAUCUGUUGGUGCUGUGUGCUGAAUGGUGUCCCAACAAAUUCCUCUGUUGAAACCUUACACCUUAACCCCCUGGACUUCACAGGGUGACUUUACUUGGAGAUAGGGUCUUUAAAGUAUAAUUAACUACCCAUUAAAAUUUUUAAAAAUGUUAAGUAUAAUUAAGAUGAGGUCAUUAGGGUGGGCCCUAUGACCUGUGUCCUUGUAAGAGGAGAUGAGGACACAGACACACAGAGGGAAGACCCUGUAAGGACACGAGAAGGUGGCCAUCUACAAGCCAGGAGAGGACUUGGAGGAAAGCAACCCUACCGACACCUUGAUCUUGGACUUCCAGACUCCAGAGCUGUGAGAAAUACAUUUCUGUGGUUUCAGCCACUCGGUCUGUGGUACUUUGUUCUGGCAGCCCU
rnacentral:lncRNA from 10 species